rnacentral:rRNA from 1 species
GAUGAACGCUGGCGGCGUGCCUAAUACAUGCAAGUCGAGCGAACGGACGAGAAGCUUGCUUCGCUGAUGUUAGCGGCGGGCGGGAGAGUAACACGUGUAUAACCUACCUAUAAGACUGGUAUAACUUCGGGAAACCGUAGCUAAUACCGGAUAAUAUUUUGAACCGCAGGGUUGAAAAGUGAGAGACGGUCUUGCUGUCACGUAUAGAUGGAUCCGCGCUGCAUUAGCUAGUUGGUAAGGUAACGGCUUACCAAGGCAACGAUGCAUAGCCGACCUGAGAGGGUGAUCGGCCACACUGGGACUGAGACACGGUCCAGACUCCUACGGGAGGCAGCAGUAGGGAAUCUUCCGCAAUGGGCGAAAGCCUGACGGAGCAACGCCGCGUGAGUGAUGACGGUCUUCGGAUCGUAAAACUCUGUUAUUAGGGAAGAACAUAUGUGUAAGUAACUGUGCACAUCUUGACGGUACCUAAUCAGAAAGCCACGGCUAACUACGUG